AGAGUUUGAUCUGGCUCAGGAUGAACGCUAGCUACAGGCUUAACACAUGCAAGGUCGAGGGGCAGCAUUGGGGUAGCAAUACUCAGAUGGCGACCGGCGCACGGGUGAGUAACACGUAUCCAACCUGCCGCUUACUCGGGGAUAGCCUUUCGAAAGAAAGAUUAAUACCCGAUGGUAUAAAGAGUUCGCAUGUUCUCUUUAUUAAAGAAUUUCGGUAAGCGAUGGGGAUGCGUUCCAUUAGAUAGUUGGCGGGGUAACGGCCCACCAAGUCUACGAUGGAUAGGGGUUCUGAGAGGAAGGUCCCCCACAUUGGAACUGAGACACGGUCCAAACUCCUACGGGAGGCAGCAGUGAGGAAUAUUGGUCAAUGGACGAGAGUCUGAACCAGCCAAAGUAGCGUGAAGGAUGACUGCCCUAUGGGUUGUAAACUUCUUUUAUAAGGGAAUAAAGUGAGGGACGUGUCCCUUUUUGUAUGUACCUUAUGAAUAAGGAUCGGCUAACUCCGUGCCAGCCGCCGC
rnacentral:rRNA from 1 species